rnacentral:rRNA from 1 species
CGCGUAGGCGGCCCGGUAAGUCCGUUGUAAAAGUCGAAGGCUCAACCUUCGAAUGCCGAUGGAUACUGCCGGGCUAGAGUCCGGAAGAGGCGGGUGGAAUUCCUGGUGUAGCGGUGGAAUGCGCAGAUAUCAGGAGGAACACCGAUAGCGAAGGCAGCUCGCUGGGACGGUACUGACGCUGAGGCGCGAAAGCGUGGGGAGCGAACA